AGUUGUUUUGCAUUUUCUCUUUUGUCAAAUAACAGACCGUUUGAAAUAAAUGUCCUACUGUAGCCAAAUCGUAAUGAAACAUUUAUGUUUUAGAAGUCACACAUCUCUUGGAAUAUGUUCUUUCAGGUGUAUUUUGGAUGACACAGUCGAGGUGUAUCAAAAUGAUUCUACAAAGUAUGACUUCGGAAUCCAAGCUUUCAAAUUCACAGGAGACUGCAACCAGGUGUACAUCAGCUGCUCUGUAAUUCUGUGUGCGGAUGGAAGUUUGAACUCCAGAUGUGCUCAAGGUUGCCUGAGAGAACCUGCACGCAAACGUAGGCGAGAUCUGAACCAAGAAACCGCCAGACAUUACAUCUCACAGGGUCCCUUCCGUUUCUUAAGACAAACUCGGACUUUUGCAUCAGCUUCGGAAAACGGUGGUUCUCUGAUAUAACUGCUAGCACUGGGGUGUUUGCAGGACUCUUCACUGUCUCCCUUGUUCUGGUGGGACUGUUGGUAUAUAAUGCCAAAAAAAAAACAAAAGCACUUGACCAUCAGCAUCUGUUGUCCAGCUUCUAAAAUAAUGCUUGGUAGGCUCACAUGCUGGAGGUACUAAGUGGAUCCACACAAGUGAAAUGAGCUUUCCAGUUAGCUAACAUUAUGAAUGCGAUCUCAUUAAAUAUUUUUAGGAAAGUUGAAUAAAGUGACAACAACAAAAGCUUAAAAUCUUUCGAGUUAAACUAUGAAGACACACAGAUAUUUGCAAAAAUGAACAAUGUUUACUUAAUGUCAUUUAAUAAAUGAUCAUAAUG